CCGCAGUGAUGACGUUUUAUUUAUACCAUCAAACUAUGAAAGCUUAGAGCUUUUUGAUGUCAACUAUACUAUUCUGUCGGAGCCU